GUGCUCACUUCAGCACAUACACUGAAACUGCAACCAUAUAGAGAUUAGCAUAGCCCCUGUGCAAGGAAGGCAUACCAGUUCGUGAAGUGUUCCAUAUUUUA
ensembl:snRNA U6 U6 spliceosomal RNA